rnacentral:rRNA from 1 species
AUUGAACGCUGGCGGCAGGCUUAACACAUGCAAGUCGAGCGGGGUGAUGGUGCUUGCACUAUCACUUAGCGGCGGACGGGUGAGUAAUGCUUAGGAAUCUGCCUAUUAGUGGGGGACAACAUCUCGAAAGGGAUGCUAAUACCGCAUACGUCCUACGGGAGAAAGCAGGGGAUCACUUGUGACCUUGCGCUAAUAGAUGAGCCUAAGUCGGAUUAGCUAGUUGGUGGGUUAAAGGCCUACCAAGGCGACGAUCUGUAGCGGGUCUGAGAGGAUGAUCCGCCACACUGGGACUGAGACACGGCCCAGACUCCUACGGGAGGCAGCAGUGGGAAUAUUGGACAAUGGGGGGAACCCUGAUCCAGCCAUGCCGCGUGUGUGAAGAAGGCCUUAUGGUUGUAAAGCACUUUAAGCGAGGAGGAGGCUCUUUUGGUUAAUACCCAAGAUGAGUGGACGUUACUCGCAGAAUAAGCACCGGCUAACUCUGUGCCAGCAGCCGCAGUAA